CUGAGACAAGAGAAGAAGAGAGAGCAGAGCUAUUUUUUUUAUAGCCUGAUUAUGAUUUUUCUGAGACUUCAAGAAAAAGCGUGGUGGGAGGAAUGCUGCAGUGUGGUGAGGAGGAGCUGAUCUCCGCCAUGCAGCGGGAGGAAAGCAGAUGUUGGUAAACUGCCACCGCAGACCAUCUUGGUUCUUCAUGCUCCUCUGAGUUGUAGGAUGUCUCAUCAGUGUCCGUCUUCCGGACUGCUGGAGGGCCUGCAGCACUCUGCCAAUUAAAGGAGCUUUUAUCCAAACUAUGCAGGGCUGAUGGCGUUAGGAGCUGAUCUUUCACGCUGCGUCUCAGGAAACA